UUAAAACACUGGUCCUUGACUGAUCACUGAAGUUAAGCAACAUCAAGCUUGGUCAGUACCUGAAUGGGUGACCACUUGGGAAUACCAGAUGCUGUAA